CAUUUGUGAGAAUAAUGGUUAAAAAACAAAGCAUAUAAACAGUAGAAGGAAAUAAAGCCAAAAAUGAAAGAAAUAUUUUCCUUGGCCUGUUAAAUGCCAGUUGAUAGUGUCAUUUAAAAAUACAAGAAAAUUUAAAGUUCUUUAUUAUAACAUCUUAAAGUGUAAACGCUAAUAAUGUACCUUCAUAUUUUAUCAGUGGAAUUGUGCUAUUUAUUUAUUUAGAGACAAGGUCUCACUUUGUAUUUUAGGCUGGCUCUGAACUAGCUUCACGUCGAUCCUGCUGCCUCUCUGCCUUUUGAGUGCUGGGAUUACAGGCAUGUGCCACCACACCCAGCCCUAUGCAACUCUAAAAAGAAAAGAUGAUUAAUUGGGAGAAAUGUCAUUGUAUUUAAUUGAGAAGCUGCUGUUCCUAAAAUGGAUGUAACUAUCAUGCAUUGCAAACAUACAUGACUACAACAACACCGAC
rnacentral:lncRNA from 1 species